rnacentral:rRNA from 1 species
AGAGUUUGAUCAUGGCUCAGAUUGAACGCUGGCGGCAGGCUUAACACAUGCAAGUCGAGCGGUAACAGGGGGGAGCUUGCUUCCCGCUGACGAGCGGCGGACGGGUGAGUAAUGCUUAGGAAUCUGCCCAGUAGUGGGGGAUAGCCCGGGGAAACCCGGAUUAAUACCGCAUACGUCCUACGGGAGAAAGCAGGGGAUCUUCGGACCUUGCGCUAUUGGAUGAGCCUAAGUCGGAUUAGCUAGUUGGUGGGGUAAAGGCCUACCAAGGCGACGAUCCGUAGCUGGUCUGAGAGGAUGAUCAGCCACAUCGGGACUGAGACACGGCCCGAACUCCUACGGGAGGCAGCAGUGGGGAAUAUUGGACAAUGGGGGCAACCCUGAUCCAGCCAUGCCGCGUGUGUGAAGAAGGCUUUCGGGUUGUAAAGCACUUUCAGUAGGGAGGAAAACCUUAUGGCUAAUACCCAUGAGGCUUGACGUUACCUACAGAAGAAGCACCGGCUAACUCCGUGCCAGCAGCCGCGGUAAUACGGAGGGUGCAAGCGUUAAUCGGAAUUACUGGGCGUAAAGCGCGCGUAGGUGGUUUGGUAAGCGAGAUGUGAAAGCCCCGGGCUUAACCUGGGAACGGCAUUUCGAACUGUCAGACUAGAGUGUGGUAGAGGGUAGUGGAAUCUCCUGUGUAGCGGUGAAAUGCGUAGAUAUAGGAAGGAACACCAGUGGCGAAGGCGGCUACCUGGACCAACACUGACACUGAGGUGCGAAAGCGUGG